GCCUUACACAUGCAAGUCGAACGGUAACAGGUCUUCGGAUGCUGACGAGUGGCGAACGGGUGAGUAAUACAUCGGAACGUGCCUAGUAGUGGGGGAUAACUACUCGAAAGAGUGGCUAAUACCGCAUGAGAUCUACGGAUGAAAGCAGGGGAUCGCAAGACCUUGUGCUACUAGAGCGGCCGAUGGCAGAUUAGGUAGUUGGUGGGAUAAAAGCUUACCAAGCCGACGAUCUGUAGCUGGUCUGAGAGGACGAUCAGCCACACUGGGACUGAGACACGGCCCAGACUCCUACGGGAGGCAGCAGUGGGGAAUUUUGGACAAUGGGCGCAAGCCUGAUCCAGCAAUGCCGCGUGCAGGAUGAAGGCCUUCGGGUUGUAAACUGCUUUUGUACGGAACGAAAAGCCCUGGGUUAAUACCCUGGGGUCAUGACGGUACCGUAAGAAUAAGCACCGGCUAACUACGUGCCAGCAGCCGCGGUAAUACGUAGGGUGCGAGCGUUAAUCGGAAUUACUGGGCGUAAAGCGUGCGCAGGCGGUUUUGUAAGACAGAGGUGAAAUCCCCGGGCUCAACCUGGGAACUGCCUUUGUGACUGCAAGGCUAGAGUACGGCAAAGGGGGAUGGAAUUCCGCGUGUAGCAGUGAAAUGCGUA
rnacentral:rRNA from 1 species